rnacentral:rRNA from 1 species
GACGAACGCUGGCGGCGUGCUUAACACAUGCAAGUCGAACGAUGAAAGAGGAGCUUGCUCCUCUGGAUUAGUGGCGAACGGGUGAGUAACACGUGAGCAAUCUGCCCCUGACUCCGGAAUAACUACGGGAAACUGUAGCUAAUACCGGAUAUGCGCCGAACAGGCAUCUGUAUCGGUGGGAAAGAAUUUCGGUCAGGGAUGAGCUCGCGGCCUAUCAGCUUGUUGGUGAGGUAACGGCUCACCAAGGCGACGACGGGUAGCCGGCCUGAGAGGGUGACCGGACACAUGAGGACUGAGAGACGGAGAAGAAUCCGAGGGGAGGCGGGAGGGGGGAAGAGUCCACGAGGGCGGGAAUGCGGAUGCAGCAAGGCCGAGGGCGGCAUGAAGGGGUUGGGGGGGGAAAGAGGUUUCGGUUAGGACGAAGAGGGAGGGACGGAAAUGGGUAAAGAAGCACGGGAUAACUACGUG